GACGCUAUAGCUCAAUGGCAAGAGCACCUCCAGAAAAGGAGAAGGCACUUAGUUCGAUUCUAAGUAGUGUCA
rnacentral:tRNA from 1 species